ensembl:snRNA U1 U1 spliceosomal RNA
AUACUUACCUAGCAGGUGAGAUACCAUGAUCACAAACGUGGUCUUCCCAUGGCGAGGCUAUCCAUUACACUUCAAAUGUGCUGACCCCUGCAAUUUCCCCAAAGGUGGGAAACUCAACAGCUUAAUUUUAGGUAGUGGGGGAUUGCAUUCGUGCGCUCCCCUA